rnacentral:rRNA from 1 species
ACGAUAGCUGUCGGCGUUCUUUUAUUGCAAGUAGAAGCUGAAUAGGAGCUUGCUUUUCUGGAGGAGUUUCGAACGGGUAAGUAACGCGUACUAACCUGCCUGGUAUCUGGGGAUAACUGUUGUGAACUAUUGUUAAUACCGUUAAUAGCAGUUAUUGCUUGAUGCUGUUUGAAAGGUGCAAUUGCUUUACUUCCCAUGUACCUGCGUUGUAGUAACUGGUUGGGGAGGAAACUGGUGACUAACGCAUUGAUUCGUGGUCGGCUGAGAGGGUUAUCAGAUUCC